AAAAGGAAAAAGAGAACGGCAACGAAGCAAAGGGUCCACCUCACUCCCCCCCCACACACACACACCACUACCACCACUACCCUACCCACUCUCUCAGCAAGAGUCACGUCUGCGAAGAUACAUUCGCCCGCCUCCAAGGAAGCGGCCGUGACGCAGCCGCAGUCUCUUGCGACGCCCCAUCUUUGUAUGCCGUCAAGCCGUACAGCGCUCGCUGUAGCACAGGGCGAUGAACUCCGAGCUCGUGGACAUGACACCGCAGGUGCCCACCACAUUGUGCGAGAAGGUGGAGCACUACCUUCGCGACCGCACACGGUACCUUCAUGUGCAGAAUGAAAUCCCGCAAGAGGUGACGAAUGAGCUUGCCAUGGUGAACAACUACUACGUGUCCGUUGCCAACCCGCAGGACAUGCGUUUCACAAACCCAGGUGAAACAACUGUCGACUACGUUUGCCGAAUAGUGUACAACUUUUUCCUUAGUCUGUACGUGCAGGCGGCGCUGCUCGUGCCCACCUUGUUAUUUCUUCUUUUCAUAGCGGUUCGCACACACCACUCGCCGAUGUUUCUACUCGUCUACAGUACCGUGAUCGACAUUGAGGUGCUCUCGAUGUGGGCCUACGAACGGGGCGCGCGCUUCGCCGCGAGGUUCUGGUGGGAACUCGCGUGGCUGAUCGUGGGGCUUAUCGUGACGAGCAUCCACGCGCUUUCCCCGGCAAACGUCUUGUGUGUGCUGCUGCUCGUAGUGCAUUGGAUGUUCAUGGCACGCAUCACCGUCAUUCAGGUCUCCCGGGCACUGCGUGUGUUUUGCGCCUCCGAACGUCGCUGCUACAUUGCCGAGGGCGUUGUCCUAGACAUGGCAUACAUAACCCGCAACGUGAUUGCGAUGGGGUGGCCGGCGAGAGGAACGGAGGCUUUGUACCGAAAUCCGUGGAAUGAGGUGGUGCACUUUCUCCGCCGCAAGUACGCGCGCCUCUCCUCGCACGUCAUCACGCUCUGCUCGGAACGCUGCACCGCGCCGUUCCCGCGCCAGUCUACCUACCCUGUGGAUGACCACAACCCAGCGGAGGUGCCUCUCAUGAUUUCCUUUUGCUGCGAAGUUGCUGACUACGUCAUGGCCGACCCGUACAGGCGGGCUGUCGCGGUGCACUGUAAGGGUGGUAAAGGACGCACUGGCACGAUGAUCUGCGCGUACCUCAUGUACUGUGGCCAAUGCCGCAGCGCCGACGCUGCCAUGCGCCACUUCAGUCUUCUACGCAGCCGCAUCGGCGCGCAGAAGCUGCAAGGCGUGCAGACCCCCUCACAGGAGCGCUACGUUCGCUACUUUGAGCGCCUCAUCAACGAACAGCCUGGAAUGAUAAUCCCGUCUCACCCGCGUCGCGUUCGCCGACUCGUGCUGCACAACGUCCCGCCGCUUUGGGUGCGGCGCGGAGUGGAGCACUUGUGGAUGACCGUCAUCGUGAAGCCGUGUACCGAGAGGCGCGUCGUAUACCUCACCAACCGCACCGUCACCUUCAACGCCGCAGUUCCGGACUCGCGCACGUAUAACUGGCGCACCCAAAUCAAAGACCUUUUCCACAAUGACGAGGAGGUGGUAUACCAGGAGGCCAACGAGAUGGACGCGACGGAGAGCGGAUGCACUGGAUACCUGCCAGACGCGCGGUCUUUUCGCGUUAUGGGAGCAGCCGGGGCUACGCUGGAGCUGGCCUUCCCGGAUGAGAUCCCGGCCGUGGAUGGCGACGUCUGCUUCAAGUUCUUCUACUACAAGAACAACCCGAACCCACUGCGGCCGCCCGUGCAGUUCUGGAUUCACACCGGAUUGGAGACACACUCGACGAUUCGGCUCGAGCGCCGAGAUUUGGAUGGGGCGUUCAAGGAUACGAGAGGUGACCGCUACCCCGCCGAGUUUGCGGUGGAGUUGGUGCUCGAGGAUGCGCCAGGGGGGUACACGGCACGCGAAUGAUGGCGCCGCUGGUGAUGAACCACUGCGCCCACCAAUGUAGGCGUGCGUUGGUCUGCGCCGCAACGCAUGCGCCUCUCCCUUGGGCCGCCCCCUGACCUCCGCUUGAAGCGUAGGUCGCAGCUGGUGCACAGGUCUUCGGUGCGACUUUCCUAGGUCCUUCACUCCUCCUCUCUCGUUUGUAUGAGUAGGUGGCUCGCUCACAGGCUUACAUAGCUGUGUGUCACGUCUCCGUGAGAUCUUCGUGUCGAAACUGAGAGGAGAUGUGCUUGGUAUCUCUGCUCGUCCACCUUCUGUGCGCUGAUGCGGUUGCACGCUUGUGUUUGAGGCGGGUAGAGCGAGAGGAGAAAGGGAUGCGCUGAAAGCAGCAGCGCCGGCGCGGUGUAUCCUCACGAAAAAGGAACGAGGAAAGGUCAAGAAAGCUGGUGAAGGACGUGGAGCUUGGCGCACCCACCCUUUUCCGGAACCGCCUCCCACCGGGGUCCCUCGUACCGCGCUCAUCAGCCUUGACGUUUUUUUUUCUCUAUGAGGCCUACCGGUGCAAGCUCCUCGCCCCGAGCAAAAGGCGCGCAACUCUACGGUGCCUCUCGCUCGCCUGCGUACGCGACCCUAGCAGUGCCCCUGCCUAGGCCUUUGCUUGUCCUUCGCUGAACUCAAACGAUGAUGGACAAGCAUACUCCCCUCCCCUCUCCUCCUGUCAUUGUUUCGCGUCACUCCCGCCAUUUGGCAACACAUGCAC
rnacentral:misc_RNA from 1 species